rnacentral:rRNA from 1 species
GACGAACGCUGGCGGCGGGCUUAACACAUGCAAGUCGAACGGAAAGGCCCUGCUUGCGUGGGGUGCCCGAGUGGCGAACGGGUGAGUAACACGUGAGUAACCGGCCCUUGACUUUGGUAUAAGUUCAGGAAAGUGGGGCUAAGACCAGAUAGCAUCUGCUGUUGCAGUGUGAGGGUUGGAAAGUUUCGGCGGGCGGGGAUGGAUUCGCGGCUUAUCAGCUUGUUGGUGGGGUAGGGGCUUACCAAGGCUUUGACGGAUAGCCGGCCUGAGAGGGUGAACGGCGACCUUGGGCCUAAGAGACGCAGCAGACUGCUACGGGAGGCAGCAGUGGGGAGUCUUGUCCAAUCGGAGGGAGUCUGAGGAAGAAACGUUCCGUGCGUGAUGACGGCCUUCGGGUUGUAAACCGCAUCAGCUUAUGACCCCGCGUGAGUGACGGUACUCGGUAAAGAAGCACCGGCUAACUACGUG